GUAGUCUCGCACAGAUGCAUAUCAAUAAGCGGAGGAAAAGAAACUAACAAGGAUUCCCCUAGUAACGGCGAGUGAAGCGGGAAGAGCUCAAAUUUGAAAUCUUAAAGGGUUUCCCUUUACGAAUUGUAGUUUAAAGAAGUGUUUUCUGUUGAGGUUUUGGUAAAAGUUCUUUGGAAUAGGACAUCAUAGAGGGUGAGAAUCCCGUAUUUGACCUUUACUUUCAACUUUGUGAUACACUUUCAAAGAGUCGGAUUGUUUGGGAAUGCAGUCCAAAUAUGGGUGGUAAAUUUCAUCUAAAGCUAAAUAUUGGCGAGAGACCGAUAGCGAACAAGUACCGUGAGGGAAAGAUGAAAAGAACUUUGAAAAGAGAGUUAAACAGUACGUGAAAUUGUCAAAAGGGAAGCGUUUGACACCAGUGUUGUUUUUCUGAAAAUCAAUUAAAGAACUGUUUAUGCUAAGCUGUUUAGACUUUAUCAGCUAACUGUUUAGUUUUGAGCUUUUCUUUAAUGCACUUUUCAGUUAACAAGUCAACAUCAAUUUCUUUUGCUGUAAAAAAGCUUGAGGAAGGUGGCUUGAGAUUCGUCUUAAGUGUUUAUAGCCUCUUGCCUAUGCAGUCGGAGAGAUUGAGGUCUGCAGCGUAGAUCCUUCGGGGCUAAAUGCAUUUGUGCUAAGUUAUAGCAUUUUAUAGACAACUUGUUGACUAUGAUUUGUCUUGUAGCUUACUCGCUUAUGUUAUUUUACCUACGCUUAGGAUGUUGAAGACUCUACAGAGAUA
rnacentral:rRNA from 1 species